rfam:Thiorhodococcus drewsii AZ1 ctg177, whole genome shotgun sequence.
AAACCCGCGAGGGGAUGUCUGGAGGAAGCCCGAGUGCAAAAGUGCGAGCCGACGGACAGAAACCGCAUAGAAGGCUUGGCCCCUGGGCGAGUCAGCACGAGAUGACGAAGCCCG